UGGACCAAUGAUGAUUGUUGCUGGAGUAAGAGUCACGGAGAUGAUGAAUACAAUGUGUCUGAAACUCUGAGGUCCAG
ensembl:snoRNA